ensembl:lncRNA
UCUAUGAAAUGGGGUUAAUAUUUGUAAGAAUCAAAUGAGUGUACUUGUAAAAUGGUUGGAAUGGUGCUUGACUCAGAGUGCUAGCGAUCAUCACCAUCAUCAUUCUUGUCACCAUGUCUACAGACUCUGCCCUCGAUGAAGACAGCAUAUGGGCAGGUAUGGGAGGCUGCCCCGGGGAGAGCCUGGUUGUGAUUUAUCUCUGUUAUCAGAGCCAGCACAAGCACCAGAUGGGAUUUAUGCUCAAUGCCUAUUUGACUAAAACUUUGGAGAGAAGAAACAGCCCAGCCGAGAAACCACACAUGAGCGUUAUCUUCCCUGAAGCCCAUUUUGAGUUCGUUUUUGUAUGUGGUGCUAGGUAGCGGGGUCCAACUUUAUUCUGCAUGUGGCUAUCCAGUUAUCCCAGCACAUGUGUUGAAAAAGACUAUUCUUUCCCCUUUGAAUUAUUUUGGCAGCCAUGUCAAAACUUAAUUGACUGUAAAUGUGAGAAUUUAUCUCUGAAUUCAAUUCUGUUCCACUACAUCUAUCUUUAUGCCAGUACCACAGUCUUGAUUACCGUAGCUUUGUAAUAAGUUUUGAAAUCAGGAAGUGUGAGUCCUCCAACUUAGUUCUUCUUUUUCAAGCUUGUUUUGGCUAUUCUAGGUCUCUUGAAUUUCCACAUGAAUUUUCAGUUAGGAUAAGUUUAUCAGUUUCUGUGAAGUCAGGUGGAAUUUCGGUAGGAACUGCAUUCAACUGUGGAGCUUCCCAGGUGUUGCUAGUGGUAAAAAAACCCACCUGCCAGUGCAGCAGACAUAAGAGAUGCGGGUUCAACCCUGCGUCAGAAGAUCCCCUGGAGGAGGACAGGGCAAGGCAACCCACUCCAGUAUUCUUGCCUAGAGAAUCCCAUGGACAGAAGAGCCUGGUGGGCUCCAGUCCACAGGUCAAGCUAGAAGACUGGACUAUGCUGACCUACUGGACCACCUGUGAACAAGACCUUGCAGUGUGCAGAGUGGCAGCAGGCCCAUAUGAACUACAGGAAUUCUGAUCAGCAGAGAAGAUGCCAAGAUGGUGUCUAAAAUUUUAAGUUGGAUUCAAACCAUGAAAGAAGAUACCAGCCCCAAAGAGCCCUGGAAUAGCCUUCUGAAGGCAUCUGAGGCAACAAUCUGCAAGAAUGGUAUGUCAUCCUUCAGGAUCCAGAAUAUGCAUUAAAUCAGAGAAGUUCAAGU